rnacentral:rRNA from 1 species
ACGCUGGCGGCAGGCCUAACACAUGCAAGUCGAGCGCCCGUAGCAAUACGGGAGCGGCAGACGGGAGAGUAACACGUGGGAACGCGCCCUUCGGUUCGGAAUAACUCAGGGAAACUUGAGCUAAUACCGGAUACGCCCUUACGGGGAAAGAUUUAUUGCCGAAGGAACGGCCCGCGUCCGAUUAGCUAGUUGGUGAGGUAACGGCUCACCAAGGCGACGAUCGGUAGCUGGUCUGAGAGGAUGACCAGCCUCAUUGGGACUGAGACACGGCCCAAACUCCUACGGGAGGCAGCAGUGGGGAAUAUUGGACAAUGGGCGCAAGCCUGAUCCAGCCAUGCCGCGUGAGUGAUGAAGGCCUUAGGGUUGUAAAGCUCUUUUAGCAGGGAAGAUAAUGACGGUACCUGCAGAAAAAGCCCCGGCUAACUUCGUGCCAGCAGCCGCGGUAAUACGAAGGGGGCUAGCGUUGCUCGGAAUUACUGGGCGUAAAGCGCACGUAGGCGGCUUCUUAAGUCGGUGGUGAAAUCCUGGAGCUCAACUCCAGAACUGCCUUCGAUACUGGGAAGCUCGAGUCCGGGAGAGGUGAGUGGAACUGCGAGUGUAGAGGUGAAAUUCGAAGAUAUUCGCAAGAACACCAGUGGCGAAGGCGGCUCACUGGCCCGGUACUGACGCUGAGGUGCGAAAGCGU